UACGUAGGGUGCGAGCGUUGUCCGGAAUUAUUGGGCGUAAAGAGCUUGUAGGCGGUUUGUCGCGUCUGCCGUGAAAAUCCGGGGCUCAACCCCGGGACUUGCGGUGGGUACGGGCAGACUAGAGUGUGGUAGGGGAGACUGGAAUUCCUGGUGUAGCGGUGAAAUGCGCAGAUAUCAGGAGGAACACCGAUGGCGAAGGCAGGUCUCUGGGCCACUACUGACGCUGAGAAGCGAAAGCAUGGGGAGCGAACAGGAUUAGAAA
rnacentral:rRNA from 1 species